AGCUCCAAUAGCGUAUAUUUAAGUUGUUGCAGUUAAAAAGCUCGUAGUUGGAUUUCGGGUGUGGGGCGCCGGUCCGCUUCGGUGUGCACUGGCGGCCCAGGCCUUCUUGUCGGGGAUGCGCUCUGGUAUUGAUUUAUCGGACGCAGAGUCGGCGCAGUUACUUUGAAAAAAUUAGAGUGUUCAAAGCAGGCUUUCGCUUGAAUACAUUAGCAUGGAAUAACAUGAUAGGACUCCGAUCCCAUUGUGUUGGUCUUCGGGACUGGAGUAAUGAUUAAGAGGGACAGUUGGGGGCAUUCGUAUUUCAUUGUCAGAGGUGAAAUUCUUGGAUUUAUGAAAGACGAACUUCUGCGAAAGCAUUUGCCAAGGAUGUUUUCA
rnacentral:rRNA from 1 species